rnacentral:rRNA from 1 species
UACGUAGGGGGCGAGCGUUGUCCGGAUUUAUUGGGCGUAAAGGGCGCGUAGGCGGUUUCUUAAGUUUGAAGUGACAGUGGGUGGCUUAACUACCCAAGGCCUUUGAAAACUGGGGAACUUGAGGACCAGAGAGGGACAUAGAAUUCCGGGUGGAGUGGUGAAAUGCGUAGAUAUCCGGAGGAAUACCAAAGGCGAAGGCAGUGUCCUGGAGGGUGACUGACGCUGAUGCACGAAAGCUGGGGGAGCAAACAGG